CCUACGGGUGGCUGCAGUGGGGAAUAUUGCACAAUGGGCGCAAGCCUGAUGCAGCCAUGCCGCGUGUAUGAAGAAGGCCUUCGGGUUGUAAAGCACUUUCAGCGGGGAGGAAGGCGGUGAGGUUAAUAACCUCAUCGAUUGACGUUACCCGCAGAAGAAGCACCGGCUAACUCCGUGCCAGCAGCCGCGGUAAUACGGAGGGUGCAAGCGUUAAUCGGAAUUACUGGGCGUAAAGCGCACGCAGGCGGUCUGUCAAGUCGGAUGUGAAAUCCCCGGGCUCAACCUGGGAACUGCAUUCGAAACUGACAGGCUAGAGUCUUGUAGAGGGGGGUAGAAGUCCAGGUGUAGCGGUGAAAUGCGUAGAGAUCUGGAGGAAUACCGGUGGCGAAGGCGGCCCCCUGGACAAAGACUGACGCUCAGGUGCGAAAGCGUGGGGAGCAAACAGGAUUAGAUACCCGUGUAGUC
rnacentral:rRNA from 1 species